rnacentral:rRNA from 1 species
UGGGGAAUCUUCCGCAAUGGGCGAAAGCCUGACGGAGCAACGCCGCGCGAGUGAAGACGGCCUUCGGGUUGUAAAGCUCUGUUAUACGGGACGAAUAAUCUUGUGGUUAAUACCCAUGAGAAGUGACGGUACCGUAAGAGAAAGCCACGGCUAACUACGUGCCAGCAGCCGCGGUAAUACGUAGGUGGCAAGCGUUGUCCGGAAUUAUUGGGCGUAAAGGGCGCGCAGGCGGCUUCUUAAGUCUGUCUUAAAAGUGCGGGGCUUAACCCCGUGAUGGGAUGGAAACUGGGAAGCUCAGAGUAUCGGAGAGGAAAGCGGAAUUCCUAGUGUAGCGGUGAAAUGCGUAGAUAUUAGGAGGAACACCAGUGGCGAAAGCGGCUUUCUGGACGAAAACUGACGCUGAGGCGCGAAAGCCAGGGGAGCGAACGGGAUUAGAUACCCCGGUAGUCCUGGCCGUAAACGAUGGGUACUAGGUGUAGGAGGUAUCGACCCCUUCUGUGCCGGAGUUAACGCAAUAAGUACCCCGCCUGGGGAGUACGGCCGCAAGGUUG